ACGUCUCUGACUAGACUCAUGAAUUUAGGCACUGGAAUAUGUGUCUGGUUUAGAAAUUCCAAUAAUAUUAACCUCAAUCAGAAAAUUUGAUAAGUUUCAAAGCGAUUCAAGUAAAUUCGCAUGUGACAUAGAAAUUUCAACCCAAUUCCAAUUCGCGGUGACGCAGCGAUUUUUUUUUUUUUUUGGGUGUUUUAAAUUAUGUAACGAAUAACGUGAAGGAGCGGAUGGGCAAUUAACCAAGCCGGAGUACGCGCCGGCAUCGGCUGUGACUGGUCGGCAUGCGGGUGGGUUCACUAAGUCCGCUGGUUAAUAUGCUCCCAAAGUUAUAAAUCUAUUUCAUUACAAUUCGCAUACUGAAUAGUGAAGAGGGAGAGGAGGAGUACGGGCUAGGGGGUACAAGACUAGAAAGAAAUAUGUUAGGCCAGUUAUAACAGGCUCUUCAUAUAAUCGGCCCACUCAGAUGCACUGCUCUUGACGUACAUAUAUGCGAUGCAUGGUUCCCAAAAAGACAAACAUUUACUCAGACAUAAUGAUUUAUUCUAGGUUGACAUGUUUUUAAUAUAAUUCCUACACAUUGAUUGGCACCAAACAUAUUUUUGGCAAGUGAAAAUAGCGGCUGUAACAGAGGUUUAUAUUACAAAAAAAUAAUUAAAAAUAUAUAAAUAUAAAUA